rnacentral:rRNA from 1 species
UACGUAGGGACCAAGCGUUGUUCGGAUUUACUGGGCGUAAAGGGCGCGUAGGCGGCUUAACAAGUCACUUGUGAAAUCUCCGGGCUUAACUCGGAACGGCCAAGUGAAACUGUCAAGCUAGAGUGCAGAAGGGGCAAUCGGAAUUCUUGGUGUAGCGGUGAAAUGCGUAGAUAUCAAGAGGAACACCUGAGGUGAAGACGGGUUGCUGGGCUGACACUGACGCUGAAGUGCGAAAGCUAGGGGAGCGAACGGG